AAAGUUUAUCGAACUUUAACACAUACUUACAGAUUUCUUUACACAAUGCAACAUAAAUAAAUAAAACAGAAUGCAACCAAAUGUGUUAAAGAUGUUUUCGAUUUGCAAUGUUAUCAAGUCGAAAACGAAAGGAAACACGCAAAAGCUUGAAACUUGAAACCGAUACAAAAUUUAUUGAGAAGAAGAAACCAAACAGUUCCAAAACCACAUAAUAGAAAUAGAAUAAAAACAAACCGGAUUAUAGUCAUUUUUUGCGAAUCAUUGAGUUGUGCGUUCGAAGACUAUGCGUUUUUGUUGUUGUUGUUGUCGUUUCGUCUGCUGAUGAAGUUUUGUUGUUGUUGUAUCACUGAAAAUGCAUGUGUGUCGAUGGAGUUGUGCUUCAUUUUGAGAAAAGGUUCGAUUCGUGUUCGUCGGUGUUUGAGAGAUGUGGUGAUGGUCUGUGAGGCGCUCGCGUGACAAAGGAGGGAUCGUUUGUGUUUGUCGGCGGUAAGAGGUUUGUGGUGGUUGUUUGGGUCGGUGAGCGGCGGUAUGCAACGGUGGUGCACGGUUGAAGGAGGUGAGUUGUUCUGGUGAUGGAGGAAUUUCUUUGACGGUGGAGUGAUGAUGGUGAAUGGAGAAGAGGAACAAUAGUCCUCUCUUUUCCGUUUCUUGUUUUUCUUUCUAAGAGUGAGUGAAUUUGUGGUAGGUUUUUUUUAGAGCUGUGGGAGUGUGAACGCAAAGCCUUUUUAUUGAGAGAGAGGAAAGUGGAUUUCUGUUUUCUUCUUUUUUCUCCUUUUUGUUGGUUAGUGGAGAGGGAGUAAGUAAUAGGUGAGGUGGAGUGUGGAGGUGGUUAAGAGGAAACGUGAGGGAGAAGGAGAGUGGGAUAGGUGGCGUGCAGGUGAGAGGAAAGAGAUAUCUAUGAGUGGUAGGUGAUAGCUGUUAACUUAAAAAAAAAAAGAGAAUUCAAUGCCACCUUAUUUUAACAUUAUUAUUUUGAAAACCAUUUAUUCAUUUUUAACUAAAAUAUGAUUAUCACAAAUA
rnacentral:lncRNA from 1 species